GGCACAGAUACUGCAUAUGCUAGGGCGGAGCUUCGAACAAGGUAUUGUUCGGGGGAGUCGGCACAGCGCCGGCGUUAUCGCUUU
rnacentral:sRNA from 2 species